rnacentral:rRNA from 1 species
UCGGCGCUACCAUGCAGUCGAGCGAGAUCUUCGGAUCUAGCGGCGGACGGGUGAGUAACGCGUGGGAACGUACCCUCUUCUGCGGGAUAGCCACUGGAAACGGUGAGUAAUACCGCAUACGCCCUUCGGGGGAAAGAUUUAUCGGAGGAGGAUCGGCCCGCGUUGGAUUAGGUAGUUGGUGGGGUAAUGGCCUACCAAGCCUACGAUCCAUAGCUGGUUUUAGAGGAUGAUCAGCCACACUGGGACUGAGACACGGCCCAGACUCCUACGGGAGGCAGCAGUGGGGAAUCUUAGACAAUGGGCGCAAGCCUGAUCUAGCCAUGCCGCGUGAGUGACGAAGGCCUUAGGGUCGUAAAGCUCUUUCGCCUGUGAUGAUAAUGACAGUAGCAGGUAAAGAAACCCCGGCUAACUCCGUGCCAGCAGCCGCGGUAAUACGGAGGGGGUUAGCGUUGUUCGGAAUUACUGGGCGUAAAGCGCACGUAGGCGGAUUGGAAAGUAUGGGGUGAAAUCCCAGGGCUCAACCCUGGAACGGCCUCAUAAACUUCCAGUCUGGAGUUCGAGAGAGGUGAGUGGAAUUCCGAGUGUAGAGGUGAAAUUCGUAGAUAUUCGGAGGAACACCAGUGGCGAAGGCGGCUCACUGGCUCGAUACUGACGCUGAGGUGCGAAAGUGUGGGGAGCAAACAGGAUUAGAUACCCUGGUAGUCC